AUUGAACGCUGGCGGCAGGCCUAACACAUGCAAGUCGAGCGGUAGAGAGAAGCUUGCUUCUCUUGAGAGCGGCGGACGGGUGAGUAAUGCCUAGGAAUCUGCCUGGUAGUGGGGGAUAACGUUCGGAAACGGGCGCUAAUACCGCAUACGUCCUACGGGAGAAAGCAGGGGACCUUCGGGCCUUGCGCUAUCAGAUGAGCCUAGGUCGGAUUAGCUAGUUGGUGAGGUAAUGGCUCACCAAGGCGACGAUCCGUAACUGGUCUGAGAGGAUGAUCAGUCACACUGGAACUGAGACACGGUCCAGACUCCUACGGGAGGCAGCAGUGGGGAAUAUUGGACAAUGGGCGAAAGCCUGAUCCAGCCAUGCCGCGUGUGUGAAGAAGGUCUUCGGAUUGUAAAGCACUUUAAGUUGGGAGGAAGGGCAGUUACCUAAUACGUGAUUGUUUUGACGUUACCGACAGAAUAAGCACCGGCUAACUCUGUGCCAGCAGCCGCGGUAA
rnacentral:rRNA from 1 species